rnacentral:rRNA from 1 species
CCUACGGGAGGCAGCAGUGAGGAAUAUUGGUCAAUGGGCGAAAGCCUGAACCAGCCAUGCCGCGUGCAGGAAGACUGCCCUAUGGGUUGUAAACUGCUUUUGUAUGGGAAUAAUAUGCUCCACGUGUGGGGUAUUGAAGGUACUGUACGAAUAAGCAUCGGCUAACUCCGU